UCCCCGCCGCUGCCCACGACGGCAUCUCCUCCCUCCUCGCUUCCCUUCACGCCGAUGUCGCCGCCUAUGCCUCCGUGUCUCUCGCCCGCCUCUUGGCUGCCCGCGCCGAUCCUCUCGCCCGUGACAACGGAUCCUCCCCUCCCCAACAUCUCUCGCGACCUAGGCGAGUCCUCCCGACACCGUCGCCGGUUAGAGCAACCGGAGCAGCGAUGCCCGACAACUUGCCCGGUGAAACUGGAGAGAGACAAUGAUUAUAUGGUCAUGGCAUGAUGCAGAUUUUCCCAGCGGAGCUGAGGAGAGGCGAAGAAGACAGUGGACAUGAUGCUCCUGCGCGUGGAGCUCCUCUGCACCACUCCACGACCCAUCUUCUUUUCGCUGCGAGCCAUCCGGUAAACAAGCCCGUGGCCACUUUGCCGCAGGCGGACACGAUGCUACUCGGUGCACAACCCGCAGUGGGCGCUGAAGGUGUUCCGAAGAGCAAUGGAGGGGGCGGAUCCAGCGCACGUCACGGUGUUCUUCAGUCAGCCUCGCUGACCAGUUGCAGGCACACCGUGACAUGCCGCUCGAGGAGUACCAGGAUAAUCAAUUUGGGGUUAAUACAAGGUCCACGCCUCCCUAACAAUUCGUAUUAUAGAUGUAUGCAUGUGCUAAGAUUUGUCUUGCCUUGUUCUGAUUUUGAUGGCUGGCAGUCAAGUGUCUAUUCUCGAGAUUGGAUGGACUCUCAUUCCAACAUUUUCCUUGUGGUUGUUCUUGGGCUACUAUUAAAUGAGUGGUAUGUGCUUGCUGUUCAUUCUUUUAUGUAUAUCGACAUCAUGGAUUGAGACCAUAUUUACUCUAUUUUUAUUCAUGAUGUUCUCUCUACUCAAAAAAAUGAAUGGAAGUUCUCCAGCUUGAUGUAUUCAAGCUCGGUUGUGAUAGAUUGGCCUGGUUCUGCUGGGUUGUAAGGCGAGGCACUGAUUUCUACUUUAAUGUUUUUUUCCAGAGAGUAUUAUGUUUGAAUGCCCACGUCAUCCUUGUUGAAAGUGCAAAUGACUACAAUGUGACAUUCUUUUUUUAAUACCAAAAAGUUCAAAGCUUUAUAAAAAAAAUUGAAACAUAAUUGCUUUGGCAUGUUCAAAAGUAUACUGCAAUACUAGUAAUUUCAGUGCCCAUUCUGAAGUGCCAAUAUCUGAAUGCUAAAUCUGAACUAACAAGCUCCAACAUGCAAAAUUGGCAUGACAUCGAUCUUUAGCAGUCUCUAGAGGCACUAGAACAUGACAAGAACUUUUUCUAUUUAACAUUCUAUUGCUCAUUUUCCUACUUUUAUAUCGGAAGCUAACCAAAAUUUGGGUGGUUGAUAUUUUUACCUACUCUAUAUUUUCUAGCUUGACGGAUUUUGAAGGUGAGGUACUGAUUUUUACAUUAUUUCAUUGGUGGGCUAUGUUUUGUAUGGACUCGUAAGAUUUUUUUUUCCUCACCACCUGAUGUUAUAUACUUUGUGGUAUUGAGAAGCCACAGUACGGAACCAAAGCUUUGAACUGUAGUUUUCCUACUUAAUAUUCAUUGCUAAAUUUCUCAUUUUAUCAGUAGUUGAAUCUCUAUUUUGUUCUUGUGUAAAAAAGGUGCUUCAGUACUGCCCUUUGUAUGCAAUAGGGAAAUGGUCUCUUUGUUCAUCAUGAGAAACAAUAGUUUAAAAUUUAGAAAUGCUUAUGGAGAUUACAAUAUUAGUCAUGUGAUCCACAUCGGAAUUUUUAUAUCAUUGCUGAUGCACCAAGUUGUUUUGUGGGCAGAUCAAGAAUGUCUACCGCAUGUUGGGUCAAGGUGACAGAACACAAUUCAUCCCAUUAUCACUAUGGGUGUAUGAUGGUAUAGUUUGAGUGAUGUUCAUACUUGGCAUUCUUCGUCAGAAUAGUGGUAUGAGGAAAGGCUUCAAAAUAAGGGAACAGAAAUGUUACAGCGUUACACGUGUGCUCAACAUCAUUUGCCAUUAUUCAUGUUAGAGAUAAUUCAGUGACCUUAAUUAUGAUAACCUUGGAUAAUGUCUGCUCCUCGUGAUGAUUGCUAUUCUUCUGCUGGUAUGUAGGUGAGUGAGAGAGUUUCUCUACUGUAGUUUGUUGGAGUUACCAUUCUUCAAAAAUUUCUUAAUGGAUGCAAUCAACAGUUCUUAGAUGAUAUGUAUUCUAAAUUAAGACAUAGACAAUAUAAGUUACCAUUUUUUACAAAUUUCUGAAUGGAUAUGAUACACAGUUCUUAGACA